GCCUGGGUGGCUCAGUUAUUUGGGUGUCUGACUUCAGCUCAGGUCAUGGUAUCAUAGUUCGUGAGUUCAAGCCCCACGUCAGGCU
rnacentral:tRNA from 1 species